AUGCGAUAAGUAGUGUGAAUUGCAUAAUUUUGUGAAUCAUCGAAUCUUUGAACGCAAAUUGCACUCCCUGGUAUUCCGGGGAGUAUGCCUGUUUGAGGGUCGUUAGAAUAAAAAUCGAGGCGUCGCUCUUUUUUUAAGGGUGAUCGCGUCGGAAUUGAGCCGUCUUUCAAAUGUUAAUUCAUGUCAAAGUGGCUUAAAAUUCAUCCAUCCGGUACGGUUAAAGCGUAUUUAAGAUUUUGAUUAAGAACGCGCGAUGACGUACCAUCUCAUGUAGUACGUUUGACCUGGCGUCGUCAGGAUCAUUCGUAUACGAUACUCAAACUUUUGACCUCAAAUCAGGUAAGAAUACCCGCUGAACUUAA
rnacentral:misc_RNA from 1 species